GAGGCUCUGAAAUGUUAAAAUAAUCUUUUUUUUUGCUCCCUUGUUCCAGGGUAGAUGAAUUAGCUACUUAAUUUUGAUUUUUUAACGGCAACCUAUAUUAAAAAUUAUAUUAAUAGACGGGGUACUGACUCUAACAAAUUCUGGUGUUGACAUUUUUAAUUUUCAGUUGACGAAAUAUUCCACUUUUAAGUUUUUGCGGGGGUUGAGCAGUGAUACAUGAUUUGUGUGGCAGUACGACGCG